UCCAAGUCCGGAUCGACGAUUCCU
rnacentral:siRNA from 1 species